GCGGCAGGUUCCGGGCGUCAGGAUAGUUCGUGAUGGCGGGGGCUGGUUCCGCCGCUGUGUCGGGGGCAGGGACCCCGGUGGCGGGGCCCACAGGCCGCGACCUCUUCGCCGAAGGAUUGCUGGAGUUCCUGCGACCCGCUGUGCAGCAGCUCGACUCUCACGUGCACGCCGUCAGGUGUCCGAGAGGGAAGUUGGGGGCGGGGCCUGUCUCUCUGGCUUUGUAGGGGCGGGGCCAAGAAAGUGUUCUGGCUGGGAGUGGGCAUAAAUUUAGGAAACUGAUUCGAGGCGGGGAGGACAGGCGGAAGGCCGCAGGUGGAGGGUUCGGCGGAGGCCGGCUUCUCUCAGUACUUGGUAAAUACGUAGGGGAGUUCGUUUCCUGAGCUCCAGUAGCUGCCUGACCUUGUAGGCCUUGUACCUCUUUGCAGAGAGAGCCAGGUAGAGCUCCGGGAACAAAUUGACAACCUAGCCACAGAACUGUGCCGCAUAAAUGAGGAUCAGAAGGUGGCCCUGGAUCUUGACCCCUAUGUUAAGAAACUACUUAAUGCCCGGCGACGCGUUGUCUUGGUUAACAACAUUCUACAAAAUGCUCAGGAACGACUGAGGCGGCUAAACCACAGUGUUGCCAAGGAAACAGCCCGCAGG
rnacentral:sRNA from 1 species